AGUAACGGCGAGUGAAGCGGCAACAGCUCAAAUUUGAAAUCUGGCCCCUCGGGCCCGAGUUGUAAUUUGUAGAGGAUGCUUUUGGCAAGGUGCCGCCCGAGUUCCCUGGAACGGGACGCCGCAGAGGGUGAGAGCCCCGUCUGGCUGGCCACCGAGCCUCUGUAAAGCUCCUUCGACGAGUCGAGUAGUUUGGGAAUGCUGCUCAAAAUGGGAGGUAUAUGUCUUCUAAAGCUAAAUAUUGGCCAGAGACCGAUAGCGCACAAGUAGAGUGAUCGAAAGAUGAAAAGCACUUUGAAAAGAGGGUUAAACAGUACGUGAAAUUGUUGAAAGGGAAGCGCUCAUGACCAGACUUGGGCUUGGCGAAUCAUCCGGCGUUCUCGCCGGUGCACUUCGCCUCGCCCAGGCCAGCAUCAGUUCGCGCCGGGGGACAAAAGCUUCGGGAAUGUGGCUCCUCCGGGAGUGUUAUAGCCCGUUGCAUAAUACCCUGGGGCGGACUGAGGUUCGCGCAUCUGCAAGGAUGCUGGCGUAAUGGUCAUCAGCGACCCGUCUUGAAACACGGACCAAGGAGUCGUCUUCGUAUGCGAGUGUUCGGGUGUCAAACCCCUACGCGUAAUGAAAGUGAACGCAGGUGAGAGCUUCGGCGCAUCAUCGACCGAUCCUGAUGUUCUCGGAUGGAUUUGAGUAAGAGCAUACGGGGCCGGACCCGAAAGAAGGUGAACUAUGCCUGUAUAGGGUGAAGCCAGAGGAAACUCUGGUGGAGGCUCGCAGCGGUUCUGACGUGCAAAUCGAUCGUCAAAUAUGGGCAUGGGGGCGAAAGACUAAUCGAACCUUCUAGUAGCUGGUUUCCGCCGAAGUUUCCCUCAGGAUAGCAGUGUUGAACUCAGUUUUAUGAGGUAAAGCGAAUGAUUAGGGAACCGGGGGCGCUAUUUAGCCUUCAUCCAUUCUCAAACUUUAAAUAUGUAAGAAGCCCUUGUUACUUAAUUGAACGUGGGCAUUCGAAUGUAUCAACACUAGUGGGGCAUUUUUGGUAAGCAGAACUGGCGAUGCGGGAUGAACCGAACGCGAGGUUAAGGUGCCAGAGUAGACGCUCAUCAGACACCACAAAAGGUGUUAGUACAUCUUGACAGCAGGACGGUGGCCAUGGAAGUCGGGAUCCGCUAAGGACUGUGUAACAACUCACCUGCCGAAUGUACUAKCCCUGUAAAUGGAUGGCGCUCAAGCGUCUCACCCAUA
rnacentral:rRNA from 1 species